UACGUAGGGGGCGAGCGUUGUCCGGAUUUAUUGGGCGUAAAGAGCGUGUAGGCGGCCAGGUAGGUCCGUUGUGAAAACUCGAGGCUCAACCUCGAGACGUCGGCGGAAACCCUCUGGCUAGAGUCCGGAAGAGGAUAGUGGAAUUCCUGGUGUAGCGGUGAAAUGCGCAGAUAUCAGGAGGAACACCGGUGGCGAAGGCGGGUCUCUGGGCCGGAACUGACGCUGAGGAGCGAAAGCGUGGGGAGCGAACAGG
rnacentral:rRNA from 1 species